rnacentral:rRNA from 1 species
GACGAGCGCUGGCGGCGUGCCUAACACAUGCAAGUCGAACGGAGAUAUUAAUGAAGCUUGCGAUUUAAUAUCUUAGUGGCGGACGGGUGAGUAACGCGUGGGUAAUCUGCCCAUAAGUGGGGAACAACAGUUGGAAACGACUGCUAAUACCGCAUACGCUGUCGCAAGACAGGAAAGGCGGCCUCUGAAUAUGCUGCCGCUUAUGGAUGAGCCCGCGUCUGAUUAGCUAGUUGGUGGGGUAAGGGCCUACCAAGGCGACGAUCAGUAGCCGGCCUGAGAGGGUGAACGGCCACACUGGGACUGAAACACGGCCCAGACUCCUACGGGAGGCAGCAGUGGGGAAUAUUGCGCAAUGGGGGAAACCCUGACGCAGCGACGCCGCGUGAGCGAUGAAGGCCUUAGGGUUGUAAAGCUCUGUUUUAAGGGACGAAUGUUACAGGGAGUAAUAUGUCCUGUAAAUGACGGUACCUUAAGAGGAAGCCCCGGCUAACUACGUGCCAGCCGCCGCUAUAAGAC